rnacentral:rRNA from 1 species
AUACGGAGGGUGCAAGCGUUGUUCGGAAUUACUGGGCGUAAAGCGCGCGUAGGCGGUCUGUUAUGUCAGAUGUGAAAGUCCUCGGCUCAACCGGGGAAGUGCAUUUGAAACUGGCAGACUUGAGUACUGGAGGGGGUGGUGGAAUUCCCGGUGUAGAGGUGAAAUUCGUAGAUAUCGGGAGGAAUACCGGUGGCGAAGGCGACCACCUGGCCAGAUACUGACGCUGAGGUGCGAAAGCGUGGGGAGCAAACAGGAGUAGAAACCCGAGUAGUCC